CCUACGGGGGGCAGCAGUGGGGAAUAUUGGACAAUGGGCGAAAGCCUGAUCCAGCCCUGCCGCGUGUGUGAAGAAGGCCUUCGGGUUGUAAAGCACUUUCAGUGGGGAAGAAAGCCUUGGGGCUAAUACCCUCGAGGAAGGACAUCACCCACAGAAGAAGCACCGGCUAACUCCGUGCCAGCAGCCGCGGUAAUACGGAGGGUGCGAGCGUUAAUCGGAAUUACUGGGCGUAAAGCGCGCGUAGGCGGUCUGAUAAGCCGGUUGUGAAAGCCCCGGGCUCAACCUGGGAACGGCAUCCGGAACUGUCAGGCUAGAGUGCAGGAGAGGAAGGUAGAAUUCCCGGUGUAGCGGUGAAAUGCGUAGAGAUCGGGAGGAAUACCAGUGGCGAAGGCGGCCUUCUGGACUGACACUGACGCUGAGGUGCGAAAGCGUGGGUAGCAAACAGGAUUAGAUACCCCUGUAGUC
rnacentral:rRNA from 1 species